GGAUAAUCCCAGGUGACUGGGGAAAAGUCGGGUCAGGCUGUUGGCCCGGCUCCUCGGAAAACGGAUCGCAAGAUUCGAACGAGAGGCAAAAUUCACCGGUUCCUCUGGCACGUUCGCGCGGGCCAGAACGCGAAAAUGGAAUCAGGCGGCGAGGGACGAUGAGAAACCGUUCCAGACCGAGUCAAGUAGUUCAGGCAGGUUUCGAGCCUGGAUGAAUCGCAGUUACCGAAAUGGUAUUUGGUUGCUACUGCGCAUCAGCACGGUGCGACUGACUCUGGCGGAAUUCAAAAAAUAAAAUUGAAUCCGCCAAAAGAAAAACGCCGGAAGGCGGACAAAGAGAGCGUUCGCAGCGGGAAGGUCACGACGGCUGGGCAAGUCGCGUGAAAACUUCCAAGGGUCGGCGAUGUUAAAAACGACACCGCUGAACUGUGAAAAAGGCAAUCUGUGAGUGAAGAGGCGAGACCCGUGCCUCGGGCGAACGCGCCGUCAAAAGCGGCGGCUGACCCGAAGCAAAUGGUCAAGACGCGAGAGAAAAUCGCAGGCGUGUCUUGACCUGGUUUGCAGGCCGGUGGCGCAACCAUCAGCCGAAGCGAGCUGAAAAGCCUCACUCGAAAUUCAGCAGCCGCAAGGCGCUGAACGGCCCUGCCACGAGGCCGAAGACUCCGCUUGCCGUGGAGAAUGGCGUCGGGAAACUGACAGCCCCUGAAAAAGGCGCGCGCCGAAUGUCAGUCCGGGAAAGAGAGUUUGGCGAACUCC
rnacentral:ncRNA from 1 species